GAUAAACGCUGGCGGCGUGCAUAACACAUGCAAGUCGAACGAAGUGGCGAACGGGUGAGUAACACGUGAGUAACCUGCCUUACACAAGGGGAAAGCCUUUGGAAACGAAGAAUAAUACCCUAUAGUGUAAGAUGGGCUUGCGUCUGAUUAGCUAGGUGGUGCGAUAAAGGCCCACCAAGGCAACGAUCAGUAGCCGGCUUGAGAGAACGGACGGCAACAUUAGGGGUGGCACCAGGCGCAAACACUCAGGUAGGGAGCAGUUGUGAAUUUUGCACAAUGGGGGAAACCAUAAUGCAUCGACGCCGCGUGAUUUAGAAGGCCUUCGGGUUGUAAAUAACUUUUUUGUGGGAUGCAGUACCAUAAGAAUAAGGUCCGGCUAAAUCCGUGCCAGCAGCCGCGGUAAUUC
rnacentral:rRNA from 1 species